AAUACCUCCUGACGCCUCCUCCCCAUCUCCGAUUCCUCCUCGGCCCGCGAUUCCUUCUCUCCUCGCCGCAUCCCCGUCCCCGUGCCCUUCUCCAAACUCCGCCAUCCCCGUCCCGUACUCCCUCCCUUGGAAAAGAUCAAUUGGAGGAGUAAUUCCGGCUUCAUCCGGUGGUGGCGAUGCCGGAAAAGAUCGAUUUUUUUUCGACGGGAGGAGUAAUUCCGGCUUGAUCCGGUGGUGCCGUUGCCGGAUCCUGCGACGGCGCCGACGCGAGCCACCAAGGGCCGUGGACUCCCUCUCCGGCUGCGAUUCCGCCAAACCCUGUCGUCUCGGCGUCCCAGCGACCAUCUCCGAGGCGGAUAAAAUCGUUUCUUUCGGUAGCAGCCCGAGGAGAAGGCCCGGACAAAUCCUCGGAGCAGUAAGCCCGCCGCUCUAGCACCUUUCCUCACCGCCGUCGUCAUCAAGAUCACAAGAGCAGGACUCUUUGGACGGUGCUGAAGAUUGACCGGUUGGAGUCUAUUGAUUUGGGUAUCCAGGAGUAUCCUAUUAGUUACACGGAGAAUUGAUUGUCAAGAACUAAUUUGGCGGAUUCACGAGGGAAAUAGGUUCUCUUGGUGGUCGGAAUUUUGCAAGAUAUUAAAGAAGCAGUUGAACUUCCCGAGGGAAAGCUCUACUUGCAAAGCUCGGAAGGUGGAUUAGCUGGGGGAGGAACCAAGAAGCUUUAGGCCCAAGAACUUCGUGUGGACCAUGACCUCCUCAGUGUUGCCAAGCACAACAUUCUCCACUGGUAGGCAUUCGUUAACGAGAAGCUUGGCCAAACCCAGUAGGUAUGCGUGGAAUUAUUGAGCUCAGGUUUUUUGGGAUUAAGAUUCUUACACCAAAGGAUCACUAUAUGCCAAGACUUCGAGGAUGAUAAGAGCGGAAGAUUUGGAUUUAAUUGUUAGGCUCGAUGUCUCAAAAUACGACAAGGAAUCAACUGAAAGAGGAACAUGUAUGAAUCGUACGGAAGAACUACUAUAUGCUAUUAAGUUACGUGUUAGCUUCUGAGGGGCUUUUGCUUUCUGUAGCAACUUCAGAAUCUCUGCUUUUACCCAAGCAUCGACAAGUAGCAUGACAUGUCUUUGCCGCCUCCCACUAAAAAGGGAACUAUUGUCAAGUGCAUCAUUCAUCAUGGACUUGGAUCAAAAGAAAAGUAAAGGAUGAUUUACAAGCUCUACGUCGGAAAUUUCUUUUUGAGAUUGUAACAUGCAAGGACAAUGAAAUUCAGCUGCCGUUAGUAACUUCACUAACUUCUUUCGUGCAGAGACAUGGUCUCAUUAAUACUGUCACUUUCAAGGGAAGUGCACUGCAAGAUUCAACUCAAAGGAAUACUUCCAUGGGAAAAAUGUUUCCUUACCGAUAGAGCUAUCUUUUUCUUCUCUUGCUGAUCUAGUGAUAGUUUCUUCCAAGACAUUCAACUGUAAACAAUGUCCGAAAACAGCUGAAACAGUUAUGAAAACGAGCAGUAAGACAUGUACAUUUUUUUUGUCUUUCAUGACGCCUUGGUGAUACUAUCAUCACUCAAUUUCAUCAAGAUGUAAGCUUACCACUUUUAUGACA